CUUCAGUUCCUGUAUUUUCUGUUUCUUAUGUAGGCUCUCCCCUUCUUACUGUAUUUGCAGAUGGUAUCCCUUAUUUGCAUAGGUGGAAACACACAUAAAGAAAUGCUACAUAUCGAUGGACUGAGGCUAUUAUCACCAUCAAAAAGCCUGGAAAAUUAUUUGAACUGAGAGGAUGGACCCAGAUGAACGUGAGCUCCAUCUUUUAAAACGUGGGGAAGUAUGUGCAAGGUCUCAGGAGCAAAGAACCUGAAAGAGCAUCUCAUUUCUUUUCCACCCCAAGCAACGACCUCCUGAUGGGUGACUUUUCCAGCACUGUGGUACUCAGAAGGAGUUUUCCUGCCUGCAGAAAACGAAGCUCUCUGCUGUGUGCCAUCUCUGCCAACUCCCCACGAGAGCAAGUGCUGGCUCAGACACACGUGGCUCUGCAGAAUUCCCUUCCUCCACAGAAGCUGGGGUUACCUGCUGUCCACGUGGAGACCCAGGGGAUAAACCAGAUUUGAAGGCAGAGUCACUCCUGAGCCUGUGUUGAUGCUCCAGAUCUCAUCCCCUCCCCGCUUUCCUCUUGGCUCCUCUUGUCACCCCCUGUGCCCAUGGCCAGAAACAUCAGAAAUCAUCCUUGGUACACCGGGGCUAUACAGGUGCAAGACAUUCCCUGGGUGAGCUGGCUCAGUAACCAGGCCACAAGCACUUAGUCAAAGGACAUUUUCGAAGUGGUCCCAGUUUUCCAACGCAGCUGUUCCUCUCCUGCCCCACACCCUGAUUCUUUUGGAGUUGCUCCCUGCUGG
rnacentral:lncRNA from 1 species